rnacentral:rRNA from 1 species
CCUGAGAGGGUGAUCGGCCACAUUGGAACUGAGACACGGUCCAAACUCCUACGGGAGGCAGCAGUGGGGAAUUUUGCGCAAUGGGCGAAAGCCUGAUGCAGCAACGCCGCGUGAGUGAUGAAGUACUUCGGUAUGUAAAGCUCUGUCUUUGGGGACGAUAAUGACGGUACCCAAGGAGGAAGCCACGGCUAACUACGUGCCAGCAGCCGCGGUAAUACGUAGGUGGCGAGCGUUGUCCGGAAUUACUGGGCGUAAAGGAUGCGUAGGUGGACUUUUAAGUCAGAUGUGAAAUCCCCGGGCUUAACCUGGGGGCUGCAUUUGAAACUGGAGGUCUAGAGUGCAGGAGAGGUAAGUGGAAUUCCUAGUGUAGCGGUGAAAUGCGUAGAUAUUAGGAAGAACACCAGUGGCGAAGGCGACUUACUGGACUGUAACUGACACUGAGGCAUGAAAGCGUGGGGAGCAAACAGGAUUAGAUACCCUGGUAGUCCACGCUGUAAACGAUGGGUACUAGGUGUGGGAGGUAUCGACUCCUUCCGUGCCGCCGUUAACACAAUAAGUACCCCGCCUGGGGAGUACGGUCGCAAGAUUA